UACGGAGGGUGCAAGCGUUAUCCGGAUUUACUGGGUUUAAAGGGUGCGUAGGUGGGUCUGUAAGUCAGUGGUGAAAUCUCCGUAGCUUAACUCGGAAACUGCCAUUGAUACUAUAGAUCUUGAAUUAUCUGGAGGUAAGCGGAAUAUGUCUGUAGCGGUGAAAUGCUUAGAUAUGACAUAGAACACCAAAUUGCGAAUGGCGCUUACUACAGGGAUAUUGACACUGAGGCACGAAAGCGUGGGGGAUCAAACAGG
rnacentral:rRNA from 1 species